CAGCGAACAAAAAAUCGGACGACGCCCUAGCUCCCUCCGCCCGCGGGUCGCCCGCUCCCUCGCGCCCCUGUUGCUCCCUCCUCGAUCCCGAUCUGGAUCGAGGGGACGAGGAGCUCCUGCCUCCCCGACGGCCGACCUCCUCCUCGCCCCGCCGCUGCGUCCGGCGCCGCCACGGCCUCUGGAGCCAGGGAAGCCAUGGCCUGAGCUCGGCCUCGAGGUCCCCGCCGCCGUCUCCUGCAGCUUCUGCCCCGCCGCCUCACCGCCCGAGCUCGCCGUCGCACCAACCUCGGCGCCGCGCCGCCGCCGGCUCUGGUCGCCUCCACCUCCGCGCCGUGAGGAACCCGCCACACGCGUCAAGGCGAGGCGCCUCCUGGGCUCCGUCCGUUUCCAGAGCGAGCGCCCGCGAAUACCUAGCUAGCCGCCGCCGCCGUGACCGUUCCAGCCACCGCCAAGGCCACACUUCCUCUUCCACCUCCGCGUACUCCUGGUUGCAGCCCCAGCUCUUCACGGGCAGGGAGAGAAGGGGGGCAUGAUCGGCGGGGCAGAGUUCUUUCGGAAGGACAGCGUGGUGGGCAACAUGGACGGAUACCUCAGCUACCUGUCCCUCGAGUAUGACUUCGUCUCGGACACCAAUCCUGCUUGGGUAUCUUCAUUUUGGAAGCAGGAAUCCUUUCCUCAUAAGAUGGAUGAGCUGUAGGAUUUGAUUCUGUUCAGCUUGAAUUAGUUUUUCAUCAUCAUGUUCUUUGUAUUAGGAAUUCAUGCCUUCCAGCUCUAAUUUUUUCGCAUUGUUGGUGUAUGCUGGGAGUCACAUUAUUAUGCUGCUAGCAAACAGUAGGAUUGGAAGUCUUACUCUGUAGGUUAGUAAUAUCUUUUCCACUAUACCGAGGUUCAGCAAUUUAAUUCGUAUUAAGGUCACACAAGCAGUUUGGUUUUCAGAUUUGUCUUGACAAACAUAUUUGGUUCAGCAAUUUAAUUCAUAUUAAAGUCACACAAGCAGUUUGGUUUUUAGAUUUGUCUUGACAAACAUAUUUUGCAGAUUAUCCUCACAUAUGAAAUUGAUUUCUGCAAGUUCCUUUCACUUCUUAUUUAUUUCUUCACUUGGUUAUGAUGUACUGCUAUUCGUUUUCAUGAUGAUUCAUGCGUUUUGUAGUUUUCACUGACAGAAUCUUGUCUUGAAACAAGAUUGGUUCCCAUUGUUACAGUGAAGUAGCUACCAAGCAGCGAGGCCAUCGAGUGACACGAGACCGCGGGACGGCGUGAGAAGAAGCAGGGGGUGUCUGGCGGGAUGGAGAAGACCACAGGGAAGUGUGGCGAUGGAGUGCAAUCCCGAAGAAGAAGAACAUUGCAAAGAAAGACCCUGGCCAAGUGCCACCCAAUUCUCUUUCACCGACCCAUCUAAUGGCCAUCAAUUCAAUUGGUCCAAGCUGUUGUGUUGACCUUCCCAUUGAUCCACUACAUCCUCGCUCAGCUGGUUCUGCUAUGUUUCUUCUCCAUGGCAUUGCUGGUUGCCGGCGUGCCUGACAUCGCGCCUUAUGUGACGUGACAUGAUGCUCCUCUACGUGUUCUUCUCACCCUGGUUUCCAUGAGGAGAGAUGUUGUUCUGUGGUUCUGUAGUUCUACUCCAUAGCAAUGAUGGAGUCGCCUCCAUAUGGAUAGCAAUUAUCUCGGGAUCAUGAGAGCUGUCUACGCAACGGCCAAGGGGCAUAUGCUUCUCCUAGCACUAAGACCUCCAUCCUAUUUGAGCCAGAAUGGCUUUGGUGCCCUCUCUCGCUCAUGGUGAGGCCGUGCAUGCUUGCCAUGUUGUGGCUACGAAAUCUCAGACUGAGUCGCUUCGGUCGGGCACUAUUCAGGGGAAUAUUUGUUCAGAAUCUUCAGUCUUGUAAUUUUCUCCUUGAUGACAAUGACCAUGCUGUGCUGGGGGAUUUGGGAUUCCAUCCUUGCUGUUUGGACUUCCGCUGCCAAAUCCAGAUCUUAUCCAAAGACUUGGGACUCCAAAUUACAUGCCCCAGAACAUUGGCGACCAAACAUCAGAGGCCCAAUUAGUUACGAGACUGACUCAUUGGGGUUUCGCUUGGAGCAUUCUUGAGAUGUUCAGUGGCGUUCAGACUUGGUGUGCCAAAUCACCAGAUGAGAUUUAUCAGUCAGUUGUCCUGAAGAAAGAGAAACCGAUGUUCCUGUACAAUUUACCUACGGAGGUCGCUAAUGUCCUCUCUGGCUGCUAUGAGUAUGAAUUUCGGGAUCACUCCUUGAUGUUAGAUAUCUUACAGUCAUUUGAAAUGUAACAUGCUAAAACUCUGUUUCUGCUUCUGCCUUGUUAACUUACAUAAUUUGGUUAAACUGCCAUGGAUGGGUGAUUUUACCAUAUCUCAUUUUCAUAUUUGCUUAUAUUAUAUUGUACAAACUACUAAGCAUUAUUGAAGUUUGUCACAUGAAAGCAUGGAAACUGCUUUCUUAGCUGUGUCGUUUAUAGUCAUAUAUGGUCAAUGCAGGUUUAUUUUCCUCCAGAGUUUACUUUUACUAUGUCCUGGUACUGGUUUUCUCUGCAGGUUUCUCUACAUUAGCUUUGUGUAUUCAAAUUUUUUGUUCCUGACAAGAAGUGCAUUGCACAUGCACACUUAUAUGAACAAGCCUUACAUGAUUUGCUCUUUUACUGAUGGACUGAGGAGGUCAGAGAUGUAUAACAGCCGUAUUGAUCCAAAUGACAAGUACGGCAGUGCUAACCUGCUUACCUAGAAUUUUACCACAUCCUAAGACUUGCAAAUCUGUAUAAUAGGAAUGGCUAGCUGUUUUCUGGUCUACAACCGUGACAUCUGGUGGCAUCUCUCACCAUGUCUGCACAUAGUGUUUAGUCAUGAUUCUUGCAUACUGUCGAGACUCGAGAAGGGCGUGACGUUUUUUCCUGAACUGAUUUCUAAUUUUUUUUGCUUACCGGUUGAGCUCGGUUUCAACUCUUACCUGAGUAGUUGAUAGGAAAGCCUGAUGCAGGUGUAUGGAAAUUAUGCAAUUCCAUGAGGUUUGGAGUUGUCCAGUAUACUACUGAGGCCUACAUAUUUUGCUGAUGCAGGUUGGAGGUGACACAUGAACGCUGGCAACGCAAAAUAGCAGAUAUAAAAUAACUGCAGCUCAGGCCAUGUAGUUCUACAACAACCAAGGAAGAAGUCCGUUUUUUAAGCCGACCUUGGCCAAGCAUUUAAGCUUAUAUGGUUGCUCUCUAUUUUUCAGAGGUGCGUGUACUGAGGACGCCCAUGAUUUAGGGCCAAAAAUCUAGACAAAGUGACAAAACUUUGUACGAGACUUACUUGAAGCCAAGGAGGUCAGGGGAGGAGGACAACAAGGCUGGGGAGCGGAGGCGGAGACCGACGGGGAAGAGAAUGAUCAAGCAUGUAAAUCUAGAGCACAAGCUCGUGAUUUAUCAAGGGAGUGGCGCUGCCGCCGGAUUAGAAAAUCAUAUCUCACGUUAAGGCGUUUUUGUCUUUUGUUUCUGUACAAAUUUGGUGCAGGCAAGUUUUUGAUGAUAUAUAUAAGAUGACUAGCAUUAUCUUUUUAUUGAGUGCAUGUUCUGGUAGCAUUAUCUACUUAGAAAAAAUUGCUAUAUGCGUGUAGUGAAUAAUAUCUGUAGGCGGUUUCCCAC
rnacentral:rRNA from 1 species